rnacentral:piRNA from 1 species
UUUGUAGUUAUCUCUCCAGAUGGCUCA